UACGGAGGGUGCAAGCAUUGAUCGGAAUUACUGGGCGUAAAGGGCGCGUAGGCGGCGAUGGAAGUCAGAUGUGAAAUUCCGGGGCUCAACCCCGGAGCUGCAUUUGAGACUCCAUUGCUAGAGGGCAGAGAGGGUAAACGGAAUUCCACGUGUAGCGGUGAAAUGCGUAGAUAUGUGGAAGAACACCGGUGGUGAAGACGGUUUACUGAGCUGUUACUGACGCUGAGGCGCGAAAGCAUGGGGAGCAAACAGG
rnacentral:rRNA from 1 species